AUCCUAGCACCGCAUGCCGGGACCUCCAUGAUCAUUGGGGUGGAGACCCCAGGAGGAGGCCUCGUCAUUGCCAUUGCACUUCGACGGGGUUGAGACUUUCCGCUCUCCCAAACUGGGAAAGAUGGGGCAUGUAGUUUUUGAUAGUGGGGGGUCUGCGUUCGCGCCACGCCUCCC